rnacentral:rRNA from 1 species
UUCCCCCAGUAGCGGCGAGCGAACGGGGAGGAGCCCAGAGCCUGAAUCAGUGUGUGUGUUAGUGGAAGCGUCUGGAAAGGCGCGCGAUACAGGGUGACAGCCCCGUACACAAAAAUGCACAUGCUGUGAGCUCGAUGAGUAGGGCGGGACACGUGGUAUCCUGUCUGAAUAUGGGGGGACCAUCCUCCAAGGCUAAAUACUCCUGACUGACCGAUAGUGAACCAGUACCGUGAGGGAAAGGCGAAAAGAACCCCGGCGAGGGGAGUGAAAAAGAACCUGAAACCGUGUACGUACAAGCAGUGGGAGCACGCUUAGGCGUGUGACUGCGUACCUUUUGUAUAAUGGGUCAGCGACUUAUAUUCUGUAGCAAGGUUAACCGAAUAGGGGAGCCGAAGGGAAACCGAGUCUUAACUGGGCGUUAAGUUGCAGGGUAUAGACCCGAAACCCGGUGAUCUAGCCAUGGGCAGGUUGAAGGUUGGGUAACACUAACUGGAGGACCGAACCGACUAAUGUUGAAAAAUUAGCGGAUGACUUGUGGCUGGGGGUGAAAGGCCAAUCAAACCGGGAGAUAGCUGGUUCUCCCCGAAAGCUAUUUAGGUAGCGCCUCGUGAAUUCAUCUCCGGGGGUAGAGCACUGUUUCGGCAAGGGGGUCAUCCCGACUUACCAACCCGAUGCAAACUGCGAAUACCGGAGAAUGUUAUCACGGGAGACACACGGCGGGUGCUAACGUCCGUCGUGAAGAGGGAAACAACCCAGACCGCCAGCUAAGGUCCCAAAGUCAUGGUUAAGUGGGAAACGAUGUGGGAAGGCCCAGACAGCCAGGAUGUUGGCUUAGAAGCAGCCAUCAUUUAAAGAAAGCGUAAUAGCUCACUGGUCGAGUCGGCCUGCGCGGAAGAUGUAACGGGGCUAAACCAUG